GUGUGUGAGAGCGGGCCUGGGCCAGGCCUCAAGAAGUGACUGGACAGAGACCAGGCAGGGAGGCUGCGGGGAUGGGAGGAGCGUGAGAACCAGAGCACGCUUGCAUUUGGUUGUCAGCAAAUGUGCACAAGCCUGCCUGAUCCGUGAGGGAGCUGGAGCGUGUGGGUGUGCAGUCAGCAGUGACACAGGGCCUUGUUUUCUUUCUUUCUUUUUAAAUAAUACCUUCCUUUUGCCUACUGAAGCAGGGUUCACAAAGGGCCUUUUCAAAGAUUUUAGUUUUUAAAAAAUUUAUUCUUAAACUAGUAAGGAAGUCCUGGAAGGUAUGAUGAGUCCUGUUUUCAAUGCUGUGGAACAUUCAUCCGAAGAAGGAAAUCUGAUGCCUUUGUAUCUGCAACCAUCCUGCAAACACCUCAUUGUGAAGUAUAAGUGCUGCUUUGACCAAGAAGGUAAGACCCUCUUUUGUUGUUUUCCAUCGAGCCAUAGGACAAUGUGAUCCAAUGGAAGAGACU
rnacentral:lncRNA from 1 species